rnacentral:rRNA from 1 species
GACGAACGCUGGCGGCGUGCCUAACACAUGCAAGUCGAGCGGAGGUACAAUGAGAGCAAUCGAGAUGUACUUUAGCGGCGGACGGGUGAGUAACGCGUGAGCAACCUGCCUAUCACAGGGGGAUAAGGCGGCGAAAGCCGCUCUAAUACCGCAUGAGACCCUCAAAGCGAUGCAAUGGGGGUGAAAGGAGCGAUCCGGUGAGAGAUGGGCUCGCGUCCGAUUAGGUAGUUGGUAGGGUAAGGGCCUACCAAGCCAAUGAUCGGUAGCCGGCCUGAGAGGGUGAACGGCCACAUUGGAACUGAGAGACGGUCCAAACUCCUACGGGAGGCAGCAGUGGGGAAUAUUGGGCAAUGGGGGAAACCCUGACCCAGCGACGCCGCGUGAGGGAAGAAGGUUUUCGGAUUGUAAACCUCUGUUCUUGGUGAAGAGGGGAAGACGGUAGCCAAGGAGGAAGCCCCCGGCUAACUACGUGCCAGCAGCCGCGGUAAUCUAGUCUAG